GGCCCAGACUCCUACGGGAGGCAGCAGUGGGGAAUUUUGAACAAUGGGCGCAAGCCUGAUCCAGCCAUGCCGCGUGUAUGAAGAAGGCCUUACGGUUGUAAAGGACUUUUGUCAGGGAAGAAAAGCUUUGGGUUAAUACCCUGGAGUGAUGACGGUACCUGAAGAAUAAGCACCGGCUAACUACGUGCCAGCAGCCGCGGUAAUACGUAGGGUGCGAGCGUUAAUCGGAAUUACUGGGCGUAAAGCGAGCGCAGACGGUUUGUUAAGCAGGAUGUGAAAUCCCCGGGCUCAACCUGGGAACUGCGUUCUGAACUGGCAGGCUAGAGUAUGUCAGAGGGGGGUAGAAUUCCACGUGUAGCAGUGAAAUGCGUAGAGAUGUGGAGGAAUACCGAUGGCGAAGGCAGCCCCCUGGGAUAAUACUGACGUUCAUGCUCGAAAGCGUGGGUAGCAAACAGGAUUAGAUACCCUGGUAGUCCACGCCCUAAACGAUGUCAAUUAGCUGUUGGGGUGCUUGACACCUUAGUAGCGUAGCUAACGCGUGAAAUUGACCGCCUGGGGAGUACGGUCGCAAGAUUAAAACUCAAAGGAAUUGACGGGGACCCGCACCAGCGGUGGAUGAUGUGGAUUAAUUCGAUGCAACGCGAAGAACCUUACCUGGUCUUGACAUGUACGGAAUCCUCCAGAGACGGAGGAGUGCCUUCGGGAGCCGUAACACAGGUGCUGCAUGGCUGUCGUCAGCUCGUGUCGUGAGAUGUUGGGUUAAGUCCCGCAACGAGCGCAACCCUUGUCAUUAGUUGCCAUCAUUUAGUUGGGCACUCUAAUGAGACUGCCGGUGACAAACCGGAGGAAGGUGGGGAUGACGUCAAGUCCUCAUGGCCCUUAUGACCAGGGCUUCACACGUCAUACAAUGGUCGGUACAGAGGGUAGCCAAGCCGCGAGGUGGAGCCAAUCCCAAAAAACCGAUCGUAGUCCGGAUUGCACUCUGCAACUCGAGUGCAUGAAGUCGGAAUCGCUAGUAAUCGCAGGUCAGCAUACUGCGGUGAAUACGUUCCCGGGUCUUGUACACACCGCCCGUCACACCAUGGGAGUGGGGGAUACCAGAAGUAGGUAGGGUAACCGCAAGGAGCCCGCUUACC
rnacentral:rRNA from 1 species